UUCAAAUGGUCAGAUUCUGGAGGAAAGAAAAAGGAAGGAUGUCAGUUCACCGUGCAAUUCCUUCUCUGUAGGUGAAAUUGUGCCUUGAUCCCCUUCGAAAUUUAGUGCAUUAACAGGCUGCCAGUCUAUCGAAGCACUGUCAAACUAGCACAUUCAUUUCACUUGCUGGGGUUUUAUUUUCUUAUUUUUCUUGUUAGUUUUUAAGUAAUUAAGAUGGCUUGAAUCUCAUAUAAAUUUUACAGCCUGCCUAACUGUAUCUGGCCUUCUCUUGCAGCCACCAACUGUUGAAGAUCGAGCUUCUGAGUUAGGAAAAUGGGAAGAGAGGGAAAUCAAAGUAAGUGGAACAAGCUGGGAUGCCAAUAGCAUUGAUAUUUCUAUAGCUGGUUUAGGCUGGUUUUCUGUUGGCCUCAAAGGGGAAGCAACCCUGACUUUGUGGACAUAUGAUGGCAUUGAGAUCACUUUGAGAGAACCUUUAGUCCUUGACCGAGCACCAUUCCUUGAGAGACCUGGAUUUUUGUUGCCCAAGGCAAUAUCCGAUGCUAUUGGCAACCAAACCAAACUAGAAGCCAAAAAUAGGAAAAGGCUUCAAGAAUCGAGCCUGGAUUUUCUAUCCGAGGUUUCUGCUUAAAUGGGAUGGAGAUGAUCAAUGUCCUUUCAAAGUUGCCUGCUCAAGUAUGAAAGAAGAUCAGUUUGUUUCUCUUCCCAAAGCAACUUUUGGAAUGGGAGACGUGUAUUUGAAGGAAAAUGGGUUGACAGUAAGGUUAACUUCCCAUCUGGGCAAAUCAAGAUUUUGGCAGCCGGGAUUAGUGCAGCAAAGAUUGCUUUCGAUGACAGUUUCUUUCUUGACUCGAUGGGUGAAGAGCCAGGGGAACGAAAUGUGAAAAUGUGUCAUUUGGAUCAAAUGUGUAAUUUACAGACAAAAUGGUAGCAUUUGCAUAUACAAUAUUAAUACAUUUUUGCUUAUAAAAUAGAGAUAUAUUGAGUCAAUUGAAUAAUAUAAUUUACAGUCCGUAAAGGGCAUUGUAGCUCAAUGUUCAUUUCACACUCCUUGAUCUUGUCAGUGAAUGCAAGUUAGUUUGCAUUUUGCUUGUUCGACACUCGUGGAUCUCGUUUGUCAGCGAAUUGUAGUUUCCAUAUUUGCUUCCUUGUGAUUAUCAAGCAAAUGUAAUGAUAUUGCACUCUCCCCUUUUUUGUCAGUGUAAUCCCUAGAAUUGCAGUCAGGUUCAAUGAAUGAACUAGACAGGCAAUGAAGCAAGCCCUUCAUCUUGAAGGUUGAGGUUAUCUCAUUUGCAAGUUUCUGGGGAAGUUCUUACGAAUCUUAUUUUACGUCAUUGCAAGAUUGUGAGUUUAAUAAUGUUUCCUAUGCUUGGAAUUUCAGUGAUUGUCUUGUCUAGUUAUCCCUCUCUGUGAAUUAGAAGUGUUAGGUCAGUCAAGAGGGCACCGCGUUCCUGACUGCUUACCCACAGGCCAAACAUCCUAGAAAGAGACAGGAAGCAAGUAGUGCUUGGCAAGAUCAUUGCAAGUGCUUUCCCACCCAUGUUCACCUGUAGUGCCAUUGGUACAGCGACCUAAUCAUGUGUCCCCUGUGAAGCAUUGAUGAGCACAAGGUCCACCGAAUUGUCAGCUUGAAAUUAUAGGCAUGUUUGUUUUUU